rnacentral:rRNA from 1 species
ACAUCUGUCCUGAAGAAGAGAAUAAUCCCGGGAAACUGGGGGUAAUGCUCUAUAGUCCGGGAGGACUGGAAUGUUCUCCGGAUGAAAGAUCCGUCGCUUCAGGAUGAGUCUGCGGCCGAUUAGGUAGUUGUUGGGGUAAAAGCCCAACAAGCCUGUAAUCGGUACGGGUUGUGGGAGCAAGAGCCCGGAGAUGGAUUUUUGAGACACGAAUCCAGGCCUUACGGGGCGCAGCAGGCGCGAAAACUUUACAAUGCGGGCAACCGUGAUAAGGAAACCCCGAGUGCCAGCACAGGCUGGCUGUCCACCAGUGUAAACAACUGGUGAAGAAAGGGCCGGGCAAGACCGGUGCCAGCCGCCGCGGUAAUACCGGCGGCUCGAGUGGUGGCCGCUUUUACUGGGCUUAAAGGGUCCGUAGCUUGAUCCAUGGGUCCCUUGAGAAAUCCAUCAGCUUAACUGCUGGGCGUUCAGGGGAAACUGUGGUUCUAGGGACCGGGAGAGGUAAGAGGUACUGCCGGGGUAGGAGUGAAAUCCUGUAAUCCCGGUGGGACCACCUAUAGCGAAGGCAUCUUACCAGAACGGCUCCGACAGUGAGGGACGAAAGCUGGGGGAGCAAACCGGAUUAGAUACCCGGGUAGUCCCAGCUGUAAACGAUGCGCGUUAGGUGUGUCAGUGACCACGUGUCACUGAUGUGCCGAAGGGAAACCGUGAAACGCGCCGCCUGGGAAGUACGGUCGCAAGGCUGAAACUUAA